UCCCUGGAAAGCCAGGCAUGGAAGGGAAACAGGGCCCUGCUGGCAGCCCAGGCCCUCCAGGUGCCAGUGGAAUCAAAGGAGAAAAGGGUGAACCAGGGCUUCCAGGGUUACCAGGCACUUCUGUGCAUACUGAAGGCAUAAAAGGAGAGCAGG